rnacentral:rRNA from 1 species
CAGCCGUAAACGAUGCGCGUUAGGUGUAUCGACGACCACGAGUCGUCGAGGUGCCGAAGGGAAACCGUGAAACGUGCCGCCUGGGAAGUACGGUCGCAAGGCUGAAACUUAAAGGAAUUGGCGGGGGAGCACCACAACAGGUGGACGCCUGCGGUUUAAUUGGACUCAACGCCGGAAAUCUCACCGGAUAAGACAGCAGAAUGAUUGCCGGGCUGAAGACUCUGCAUGACUAGCUGAGAGGAGGUGCAUGGCGUCAGUGACU